GCAUGGGUGCAAUCUGCCGCCAGCAGCCCCUAGUAGGGAUGGGCACGAACUUGUUCGGAGGCCCUUUUAUGGGCCUUUGAACAGGUUCAAACAACUGGCGGUUGGGCCGGUUCGAAGGCAGGGGGGAUACCUUUAAGGGCAUUGUGGGCGGGCAGUACUUCCGGUCCAGCAAGGGAACGGGGAAGCAGGGAGGUCCUCUGCCGCCCCACCGGACCGUUUGAAAAUGCAGCGCCGGCAAGGGAAACAAGUCCGGAGGAGUAAGAGCACCCUCCCCCUGCCCUUAAAGUCCACGACGCCGUCACAUUCUGGGUUCGACUUGGCAAUGCAGACUUUGCUGGAGCAUUUGAAGGUGGAUGAGGUACAGGGCACUGCUGCGGAAGUGAUUGAAAGCAGGAACCCGGCACAAAUCAUCUGCUCCGUGAGCGAGAAGUUGUAGAGGACAUUGCAAGUUUUCUGGUCAAUGAUGCCAACCGAAGCUCUCUGGAGGUGUUCUGGCUUGGAGACUGCAGGUCACACAGAGAUAGAGUGAAAUGCACAUGCCUGCCAGGGAAGUAGAGGAAUGCAUGCCUCCCACCACACCUAUUUGCAAAGAAUGAGAGCUUUUGGGUCGAUUGGAGCAUUCAUGAUUCUUUGGUAGGUUCUGCCUGCCAAGAACAACUAAGAUUUCAACCCUCAUCACAACCAUUCACCAAAGAGAGGCCAGGAUGCUGUUUGAUGCAUCUGACCAAAUGGGCUUUAGGAGUCCACUUCAAACGUGCCAUGAGAAACCUGUUAGCCUUUCAGGUGCUGCAAGGCUCUUUCUAUUUUAUUUUUUUGCUUUCCCCAGAUUUCUCCACAACAUUACACAGUCCCCUUGUGCAUAUUCCUAUUAGAGCUGAAAAGACAUCCUGCACAAAUGUGGAUCAAUAUUCAAACUCUGAACAUGGAUAUGCUGCAGAAGGGUGGGGGGGAAGGAGGGUGAAGACCUUCCUCCUUUGCUCCUGACUGGUAAGCUUGUUCCAUUAAUUUCAGUGGGAGUACUCAUGAGCAGCUUAGACUGGAUGUAAGCCAGUGGAGUAGCCUGUCUCAUAACUGUAACAUUUAAAUCUGGGUGUGCAUGUGCACGCACACACACACGCACACGCACACACACACACACACACACACACACACACACACACAAUCUCUAUGAGUACCUGAGCUGAAAGUUUGCAACAGAAGGGGCGCACUUGUUUAAAAAAAGGUUGGGACCCCCGGAUUAAUAAAUAAAAAAGACAUUUAGUCAACUAAGAGACAGAAGUUUGGGGCAGCAUACCAAUCUGAUAGACAAAUAAAUAAAUAAUAACGAAAAAUGUUCACUCAGGCUUUUAAAUGUUCACCCAUGCCUUUAAUUAGACUUAUAGUUUUUAACAUUGUGUUAAAAUUUAAAAUUUAAACAUUUUAAUUCUGU